GAGGUAUUAGUUAAACCAUAACCCUGCCUUGUCAAGACAAUAUUACAGGUUAGACCCCUGUCUACCUCU
rnacentral:tRNA from 1 species